rnacentral:rRNA from 1 species
UAAUACCUACGGGGGGCAGCAGUGAGGAAUAUUGGUCAAUGGGCGGGAGCCUGAACCAGCCAAGUCGCGUGAGGGAUGACGGCCCUAUGGGUUGUAAACCUCUUUUGCCGGGGAGCAAAGUGCCGCACGUGUGCGGUUUGGAGAGUACCCGGAGAAAAAGCAUCGGCUAACUCCGUGCCAGCAGCCGCGGUAAUACGGAGGAUGCGAGCGUUAUCCGGAUUUAUUGGGUUUAAAGGGUGCGUAGGCGGAGUGUCAAGUCAGCGGUAAAAUUUCGGGGCUCAACCCCGUCGUGCCGUUGAAACUGA